rnacentral:rRNA from 5 species
AACAAGGUUUCCGUAGGUGAACCUGCGGAAGGAUCA